UCCCUGGUGGCCCAGUGGCUAAGACUCUGCGCUCCCUAUGCAGAGGGCCUAGGUUCAAUCCCUGGUCAGGGAA
rnacentral:tRNA from 1 species